UUCAAGACACUCAAACAUUUUAUAAAGUAAGCUGAUGGAAUUUUCCAUAACUUAGGUUUACUGAUCUUAAGAUCACACUUUUAAGGUCCCUACCUGAAAACCAAGACACUAAACACUGUGAUUAUAAGGCUGUCUUUUUCAGGGUCAGGAUCAGCACAGAGGGCUUUGGGGUGGUUCUUCCGGCUCCCAUACUCUCUAGGACAGGCACACUGGCACAGCAGAUGCUGCUGAGAAGUAGCAGCGAGAUGAAGUGCAGGCUGAGGUGGCGGUGGAAUUCCUUCUGUGAGGUGUCGCCAGUGGUAUCCAGGGACAUCUUUCUAACUUUCUUCUGUGCAGUGGUCGUGGCUAUGGCUGGGCCCACGAGUGGUAAGAGCGGCUGAUCUGCAUGUGCAGGACCUCCAUCAGACUCAUGUUCCAGCCUCCAGUUCCCAGGGAGAGGACAACUCCUGGUAGAGGCCGUCUGUGCUGCACUCUCUAUCUUAGCCACUGCAGGCAACUCUUUUGCCACUGAGAAAGAAGAGGCUACCACUGACGAUAUGGCAGACUUAAUCAGAGAACAGAGAAGGUUGCACGCAAAGUGAGCCAAAAAAGUAAGGCUAAAGCUGGCGGUUUGCGGGUGAAAACGGAGCAUCCCUCUGCGUCGCACAGCCCAACAUGCCCCCUGCGGAUGC